rnacentral:rRNA from 1 species
AGUGCACGCGCUGGUCCGUGCUUGACUUCCAGUUUGCAGGGAUAAGAUGUUCGGCCUCUAUGCCAAACGAGCUUCAGGAGGCCGGACCUGCCCAACCUAUCCACCAAAGCACCCCUGGCCCAGAGAGCGCGGUUGGAACGCUUGGCAAGAUCAUCCUCGAUGCCGGCAGUAUGGCUCCCUCAGCUUUUGUGUCUCAUCAAUUGGUUCGGAAGGCCAAAACACAGGUCCAAGCGGGGUCAUCUGCGGCAAAUUCGAAAAGUGACGUCUUCUCAGCUUGGUCCGCCCAUUUUCUCAGUUUGUCUGUAGGUAGUGGUCUCCGGAACUUCCUGACGGAUCCUGCUAGUCUUCUCUGGUUAGGAGCUGAUGACUUGGCCCCUCCAAGACUGCUCCUGAAAGCGACUUGGCUAGGAGAAGGGGUGCUCUCAACUAAAGUACAUCGGGCGCGAGGAUAAGUAGUCCAUAUCGAGGACGUAAUGUGUCGGGGUGGAUGCGGCGCUGUCGGGUCUGCUGAUCAAGUUCUCCAACACUGCGCUUCGGCCCACUAAUUGCAUUGGCAAACGGCGUAACAAAGUGGUCCGUUGGUUGACUUGUUCUUUCAAGGAGAGACCUUCCUGUCUUGGUCUAGCCUAAUGUCCCCCUGGCGCAAAGGUUUUGCAAACCGGACCUUAUUUUGUACAACGGUGACCUCGUACAUUUCCUUGACAUGUGUUCAGUAUCCGGUUAAUCUGCUGGAUCUGCCUGGAGAACUAAAAUUGAGAAAUAAUCUGCUACCUUGGUAGGGGAUUCCAUCAAGCUUACGUUGGGCCAAACUACUGUUACGCUCACACACUGCCCGGUCGUUAUCUCCAACCACCGCCUCCUUCUCAAGCUAUCGGAUUCCGUUUUGCGUCACCUUGGUCUUCGUCCAUUCAACUUGGCUCGUGCUUGUGAACUGUUGCCCAAGGCUCGCUGAAGAUCUACGACGUCUAUAUGAACGGUCUCAAAGAAUGGCCAGACUGAAGUAUUGGACAAUGGAUCGGCUUCACUUAUGACUUCCUGUACGUAAACAUGCCAGGAGGUACACAGCCUAUGCAAAGGAGGCUUGGGACGCGUGUACAGUCCUCUCCAGUCAGAUGCUGAGUGCUCUUAAAAAACAGUCUUGCCUGAUUCCCCUUCCCCCCAUUUUUCUUACUUAAAUUUUUUUCUACCCCCUAUUGCUGUGUGUUCUAACUGGACAGUACAUAAUAUCAUAGCCAAAAGCCUCAUCAUUCAUUAUUGACUCGCAUGAACAAUUAAAAAAAAUCCCCACUGUCCCCAUUUACCAUGUGGCGAAACCACAGCCAAGGGAACGAGCUUGGCCAAAUUAGUGGAAGAAGAAGUCCCUAUGAAGAUUGACUCUAGUCCGACUUCGUGGAGGGACAUGAAAGGGGUGUAAUAGGUAAGAGGCCGGUCCUUCAGGUCUCGCAGAUGGUGAAAUAGCACCACGGCCACUGUUUUUUGCAUUUUCAGUAAAACAAGAAAUUGCUUUUGGUUUUACUCACGUACUAGUGCAGUGGCGCACGGCGCGGGGGUUGGUAUCUUAGUCAUCUCAGAGCAGUCGUGGUCUCAGUCGCGGCCUUUGAGUCUGUUUUGAUGUGCAAUCCGUUCUGAAGACAGUAUCAGGCGGAAAGUUUGACUGGGGCGGUACAUCUGUCAAAUGGUGACGCAGGUGUUCCAUGGUGAGCUCGGCCGGGACGGAAGCCUGGCUUGGAGUAAAAGGGCAAAAGCUCACUUGAUUUUGACUUGCAAUACGAAUACAGACCUUGAAAGCUUGAACUAUCGUUCCUUUUUAAUCCGAUAUUCAGAGUAUGAUGCAAGGGGUGUCAGAAAAGUCACCACAGGGAUAGCUGGCUUGUAGCGGCCAAGCUUUCACGGCAAAGCCUCUUUUUGCCACUUCGAUGUCGGCUCGCCCUAGCUUUGUGAAACAGAAUUCAUCAAGCUUUGGAUUGUUCACUCGAUAAUUGGGAACGUGAGCUAGGGUUGGACUUUCAAGAGACAGGUUAGUUUUACCCAACUAAUGAGUACUUUGAAACAAUGAAGCGAAAAGUGGACUUCUCUAUGGUGAUCCUGUCUGGCGCGAGAGAAGCCGCAGGUUCAGAUGUUUGGUAUAUGUGCCUGGUUGAACGGCCAGUGGUGCGAAGCUGUCAUCUGAGGGACUGGAACGGAAGGCCUCUAAGUCCGAAUCCCGCCUGGAUAUGCAAAGGUAUAUUCAGCGCCUGACACUAGACUAGAAUAGCCUACGUAUUCCUUUUGGUGCUUGACCCAUGCUAUGUGCCUGGCUGGGCCAGGUAGGUCUGUUUUAAUGCCGGAUCGAUAGGACCACAACUGUACCCUGGACUUCAGAGUGUAAAAGUCGACGCUAUACCCAAAAGUGGUUUGAGGGUGAA